rnacentral:rRNA from 1 species
UACGUAGGGCGCAAGCGUUGUCCGGAAUUAUUGGGCGUAAAGAGCUCGUAGGCGGUCUGUUGCGUCCGCUGUGAAAACCCAGGGCUUAACCCUGGGCUUGCAGUGGAUACGGGCAGACUAGAGGCAGGUAGGGGAGAAUGGAAUUCCCGGUGUAGCGGUGAAAUGCGCAGAUAUCGGGAGGAACACCGGUGGCGAAGGCGGUUCUCUGGGCCUGACCUGACGCUGAGGAGCGAGAGCGUGGGGAGCGAACAGG